CUGCGGGGUCCUGGGAGCCUCUUGGCAUCUGGGACCUUCUCUCUGACCAGUUCUUCUACCUUGUUUGUGCAUUCAUCUACGCUGCUGCUGCUGCUGCUGCUGCUGCUAAAUUCCUUUCCUGAUAUCAGAACCCAACUUCUUCAAGCUUCCAGUAUAGACGAGUUUGGAAUGAAGACCAGUGCCUCUCUAGGAAUCCUCUAAGCCUUCAGUGCCAGACUGGGCUGCUGAGGCAUCUGGCAUUGUGGUCUCAGCUCUCCAAUGUAAAGACCGCCAUUGUUGGACCACCCUGAUGGAACUCUGGACUUCUGCUUCCUCCGGCUAAAGACUUGACGAAAAGAUCUCUUUAAAAAUGAUUCUUCACUCAGCACCACUGAAUAGGAUAGGAAGAGCAGGGGCCAUUC
rnacentral:lncRNA from 1 species